UUACACAUGCAAGUCGAGGGGUAUAGUUCUUCGGGAUUAGAGACCGGCGCACGGGUGCGUAACGCGUAUGCAAUCUGCCUUUCACAGAGGGAUAGCCCAGAGAAAUUUGGAUUAAUACCUCAUAGUAUUACGACUCGGCAUCGAGAUGUAAUUAAAGUCACAACGGUGAAAGAUGAGCAUGCGUCCCAUUAGCUAGUUGGUAAGGUAACGGCUUACCAAGGCAACGAUGGGUAGGGGUCCUGAGAGGGAGAUCCCCCACACUGGUACUGAGACACGGACCAGACUCCUACGGGAGGCAGCAGUGAGGAAUAUUGGACAAUGGGCGCAAGCCUGAUCCAGCCAUGCCGCGUGCAGGAUGACGGUCCUAUGGAUUGUAAACUGCUUUUGUACGAGAAGAAACACUCCUAUGUAUAGGAGCUUGACGGUAUCGUAAGAAUAAGGAUCGGCUAACUCCGUGCCAGCAGCCGCGGUAAUACGGAGGAUCCAAGCGUUAUCCGGAAUCAUUGGGUUUAAAGGGUCCGUAGGCGGUUUAGUAAGUCAGUGGUGAAAGCCCAUCGCUCAACGGUGGAACGGCCAUUGAUACUGCUGAACUUGAAUUAUUAGGAAGUAACUAGAAUAUGUAGUGUAGCGGUGAAAUGCUUAGAUAUUACAUGGAAUACCAAUUGCGAAGGCAGGUUACUACUAAUGGAUUGACGCUGAUGGACGAAAGCGUGGGGAGCGAACAGGAUUAGAUACCCUGGUAGUCCACGCCGUAAACGAUGGAUACUAGCUGUUGGAAGCAAUUUCAGUGGCUAAGCGAAAGUGAUAAGUAUCCCACCUGGGGAGUACGUUCGCAAGAAUGAAACUCAAAGGAAUUGACGGGGGCCCGCACAAGCGGUGGAGCAUGUGGUUUAAUUCGAUGAUACGCGAGGAACCUUACCAAGGCUUAAAUGUAGAUUGACCGGUUUGGAAACAGAUCUUUCGCAAGACAAUUUACAGGUGCUGCAUGGUUGUCGUCAGCUCGUGCCGUGAGGUGUCAGGUUAAGUCCUAUAACGAGCGCAACCCCUGUUGUUAGUUGCCAGCGAGUCAAGUCGGGAACUCUAACAAGACUGCCAUGCACUGU
rnacentral:rRNA from 1 species